AAAUAGAGAGUAUAGUAUUUACAUUUAGUUUCGACCUAAAAAUUAAGAAUUUUCUUCCUAUUUU
rnacentral:tRNA from 1 species